GCAUGGACGAAGUCUGACGGAGCACGCCGCGUGAGUGAUGAAGGUUUUCGGAUCGUAAAACUCUGUUGUUAGGGAAGAACAAGUGCCAUUCGAAUAGGUUGGCACCUUGACGGUACCUAACCAGAAAGCCCCGGCUAACUACGUGCCAGCAGCCGCGGUAAUACGUAGGGGGCAAGCGUUGUCCGGAAUUAUUGGGCGUAAAGCGCGCGCAGGCGGUCCUUUAAGUCUGAUGUGAAAGCCCACGGCUUAACCGUGGAGGGCCAUUGGAAACUGGAGGACUUGAGUACAGAAGAGGAGAGUGGAAUUCCACGUGUAGCGGUGAAAUGCGUAGAGAUGUGGAGGAACACCAGUGGCGAAGGCGACUCUCUGGUCUGUAACUGACGCUGAGGUGCGAAAGCGUGGGUAGCGAACAGGAUUAGAUACCCUGGUAGUCCACGCCGUAAACGAUGAGUGCUAGGUGUUAGGGGGUUUCCGCCCCUUAGUGCUGAAGUUAACGCAUUAAGCACUCCGCCUGGGGAGUACGGCCGCAAGGCUGAAACUCAAAAGAAUUGACGGGGACCCGCACAAGCGGUGGAGCAUGUGGUUUAAUUCGAAGCAACGCGAAGAACCUUACCAGGUCUUGACAUCCUCUGACACCCCUAGAGAUAGGGCAUUCCCUUCGGGGACAGAGUGACAGGUGGUGCAUGGUUGUCGUCAGCUCGUGUCGUGAGAUGUUGGGUUAAGUCCCGCAACGAGCGCAACCCUUGAUCUUAGUUGCCAGCAUUUAGUUGGGCACUCUAAGGUGACUGCCGGUGACAAACCGGAGGAAGGUGGGGAUGACGUCAAAUCAUCAUGCCCCUUA
rnacentral:rRNA from 1 species